rnacentral:rRNA from 1 species
UACGAAGGGGGCUAGCGUUGCUCGGAAUCACUGGGCGUAAAGGGCGCGUAGGCGGGCUCUUAAGUCGGUGGUGAAAUCCUGGAGCUCAACUCCAGAACUGCCUUCGAUACUGAGAGUCUCGAGUCCGGGAGAGGUGAGUGGAACUGCGAGUGUAGAGGUGAAAUUCGUAGAUAUUCGCAAGAACACCAGUGGCGAAGGCGGCUCACUGGCCCGGUACUGACGCUGAGGUGCGAAAGCGUGGGGAGCAAACAGG